rnacentral:other from 1 species
AUUCCCCUGCGGUGUUCGAAAGGGCAGAUAUUCCUUUGAACCAAUAGUUCGCUUUAACGGCGGCAAAGUCGAUGGUGGGUGUGCGCGUCCCUCUGCGGAUGUACCCGAAGCCGUUUCAUGCUGCCGGCCUUGUCUUCAAGGUUCAAGCGGAUGGAGCCCAAACGGCACAGGCGGGGGAACC